rnacentral:rRNA from 1 species
GAGUUUGAUCAUGGCUCAGGAUGAACGCUAGCGGCAGGCUUAAUACAUGCAAGUCGAACGGUAGAGUCCCUUCGGGGGCUUGAGAGUGGCGAACGGGUGAGUAACGCGUACGCAAUCUGCCUCUAACUGGAGAAUAGCCCCGGGAAACCGGGAUUAAUACUCCAUAAUAUUUCGGUAAGGCAUCUUACUGAAAUUAAAGCCUUGGCGGUUAGAGAUGAGCGUGCGUCCCAUUAGUUAGUUGGUAGGGUAACGGCCUACCAAGACAGCGAUGGGUAGGGGGCGUGAGAGCGUGGCCCCCCACACUGGAACUGAGACACGGUCCAGACUCCUACGGGAGGCAGCAGUAAGGAAUAUUGGGCAAUGGGCGAAAGCCUGACCCAGCCAUGCCGCGUGCAGGAUGAAGGCCCUCUGGGUCGUAAACUGCUUUUCUUUGGGAAGAAAAACCCUUAUUUAUAAGGGACUGACGGUACCAGAGGAAUAAGCACCGGCUAACUCCGUGCCAGCAGCCGCGGUAAUACGGAGGGUGCAAGCGUUAUCCGGAAUCACUGGGUUUAAAGGGUGCGCAGGCGGAUUAACCAGUCAGAGGUGAAAGCCCCGAGCUUAACUUGGGAACUGCCUUUGAUACUGUUAAUCUUGAAUUUAGUUGAGGUGGGCGGAAUGUGACGUGUAGCGGUGAAAUGCUUAGAUAUGUCACAGAACACCGAUUGCGAAGGCAGCUCACUAAACUAAUAUUGACGCUCAGGCACGAAAGCGUGGGUAG